UAUAAUUAGAAUUGACAGAUGAGAGCUCUUUCUUGAUUUGGUGGGUAGUGGUGCAUGGCCAUUUCUGGUUGGUGGAGCGAUUUGUCUAGUUCAUUCCAAAAAGACGAAGGAGACUAUAGCCUAUUAAAAGUGUGCUGGUUCCUACAUUAUGCACAUAGACGUGACAUUUACAUACAUUCAUAAAAGAUUUGUGAAGAUGGCAAAUCAACGAACCACUCCCUGCCAGAUCAUUUAUGACUGUGUCCAUAUGAACUAUGUCUUU
rnacentral:ncRNA from 1 species